rnacentral:lncRNA from 1 species
UCGGGAACAGUAGUUCCCGAGAAUCUGGAACUAGCUGGAAUAAGGCUGGAACUGCUAUUCCACCCGUUUCUUGGAACAAGCUUGUUCCUUGAUGAGAACAAGAUUAAUUAAAAUCUAAAUUUAAUUUUAAUGGCAAUAAAUUAUUAAUUAAUCUAAUUAAUAUAUUUAAAUUAUUAUUUGUUAUUUUAAUAAUUAAAUAAUUAAAUAAUUUAUUAUUUAUAAUUAAUUAUUAAUAAUUAGAUAAUAAUUAUUAUUAAUUUAUUAUUUAUAAUUAAUUAUUAAUAAUUAAUAAUAAAUAAUAAAUUAAUAAUAAUUAUUAUCUAAUUAUUAAUAAUUAAUUAUUAUUAAUUAAUUUUUUAUUUAUUUUUAAGUAAUAUUUUUAUGUUAAUUAAUUACAUAAUAUAAUUUUAAUUUCAAAUUAUAACGUUUAUUCCUCUUGUUCCAAUCUAAUCAUCCAAACACUAUUUACCUUAUUCCUAGGAACAACCCAAUUUUCAUCCAAACGCAAAAUUGGUCUAGUUCCUGCUUAUACCUGAACUUGUACCUAUCCCUAGAACUAGCAGUUCUUACUUAUACCCGAACCAAACGCAGCCUAAAGUGUACACCCUAUUCCUACAAUGAACCUACUGCAGCCAACAUGCACCGCAAGGACACAAAUGGCUAGGGACCAAGUGUAUGUAUAGUCAAACUAUAGUAACCUCAUUGUGAAUAGUCGAGGCACCGCAGGUCAAAGGACCAGUCACACUACUGCAACAUUGAGUAAGUCACCGACGAGUGAGUAGACAUCCAAGUGACUUCUCGCGUUGGUCACGCUCGGUACCCUUGUUCUCUAACAACCACCUGCAUAUUCGCUUCAGUGUCCCCACACUGUCAACUCGAGACUCGUUUACCCAA